GACGAACGCUGGCGGCGUGCUUAACACAUGCAAGUCGAACGGAAAUGCCCUGCUUUUGUGGGGUGCUCGAGUGGCGAACGGGUGAGUAACACGUGAGUAACUUGCCAUUGACUAUGGGAAAUCUUCAGGAAACCGGGGCUAAUACCGGAUAGGAGCUCCUGCUGCCUGGUGGGGGUUGGAAAGUUUCGGAGGUUGGGGAUGGACUCGCGGCUUAUCAGCUUGUUGGUGGGGGAGUGGCUUACCAAGGCUUUGACGGGGAGCCGGACUGAGAGGGUGACCGGGCACAUUGGGACUGGGACAGGGACCAGGCCCCGACGCGGGGGAGAAGUGGGAGUGAGUACAAUAGGAGAGGGAGCCUAACGCAGCACCGCCGCGGGCGGGAUGGCGGCCAUCGGGUUGUAGACCGCAUGCGCCUGUCACGAAGCGGAAAUGACGGUAAUGGGUAAAAAAGCACCGGCUAACUACGUG
rnacentral:rRNA from 1 species